GUCAAUGUCAGCAUCCCCACAUCUUAUAUCCCCACGCCAUGCCCCCACAAACCAACCCCCACGGCUUAAAUUCACACACCAUGACCCGCACAGGCUGCCCUUAAACAGCCUCCUAUCCCAAGCUUGCCCUCCAUACCCUGUCCCCCACACCCCACACAAUUCUAUCCCAAGCCUGCCCUCCCACAGCCUGCCCCCCACUGCCUGCUAUCCCACGCCUGCCCCCCCACCCUGCUAUCCCAAGCCUUCCCCCAACAUCCUGCUGUGC